rnacentral:rRNA from 1 species
GAAUUUUGGACAAUGGGCGAAAGCCUGAUCCAGCAAUGCCGCGUGCAGGAUGUAGGCCUUCGGGUUGUAAACUGAGUUUGUACGGAACGAAAAGCUUUGGGUUAAUACCCUGGCGUCAUGACGGUACCUUACGACUAAGCACCGGCCAACUACGUGCCCGCAGCCGCGGUAAUACGUCGGGUGCAAGCGUUAAGCGGAAUUACUGGGCGUAAAGCGUGCGCAGGCGGUUUUGUAAGACAGAGGUGAAAUCCCCGGGCUCAACCUGGGAACUGCCUUUGUGACUGCAAGGCUAGAGUACGGCAGAGGGGGGUGGAAUUCCGCGUGUAGCAGUGAAAUGCGUAGAUAUGCGGAGGAACACCGAUGGCGAAGGCAACCCCCUGGGCCUGUACUGACGCUCAUGCACGAAAGCGUGGGGAGCAAAC